rnacentral:ncRNA from 1 species
CAGAGUAGAAAUUCGCGCGUAUAAGUGUUUCGCGGACGGGGAGUUGCCGCGGAAACGAAAGGGGAGACCCUGCGAUGCGGAUUUCGCAUCCCGCUGU